rnacentral:rRNA from 2 species
AGCGAACGCUGGCGGCAGGCCUAACACAUGCAAGUCGAACGGGCGUAGCAAUACGUCAGUGGCAGACGGGUGAGUAACACGUGGGAACGUGCCCUUCGGUUCGGAACAACCCAGGGAAACUUGGGCUAAUACCGGAUACGUCCGCAAGGAGAAAGAUUUAUCGCCGAAGGAUCGGCCCGCGUCUGAUUAGCUUGUUGGUGAGGUAACGGCUCACCAAGGCGACGAUCAGUAGCUGGUCUGAGAGGAUGAUCAGCCACACUGGGACUGAGACACGGCCCAGACUCCUACGGGAGGCAGCAGUGGGGAAUAUUGGACAAUGGGCGCAAGCCUGAUCCAGCCAUGCCGCGUGAGUGAUGAAGGCCUUAGGGUUGUAAAGCUCUUUCGGCGGGGAAGA